rnacentral:rRNA from 1 species
CUCUUCUUAAUCACCGAAGUUAAGCAACGUCGAGGCUGGUCAGUACCUAGAUGGGAGACCGCUUGGGAAUACCAGGUGCUGUAA